UGCAGUUUUCAUAAGCCAGCUGAACAUCAUAAAAAAAGCUGAUAGCCUUGCUGCUUACGUCGGGAGAUUUGGAAGAGAGCAAAAAAACUUCAAAAUCUUUGCUCUCACCAUACGGUUGAAGACAUAAAGAUAUCCAAUUCUCUGGUGCCGAAGAAUCUAAAGACAACUUUUUUUCGUUGUAUUUGAGCAAAACACGAGGAGGUUGGGAGAAGUUUACCAACGUUUCAGAAAAGUUAACUUGGGAUGGAGGAUUGUCAUUUAAUGCGUGAUGCCCGUUAUUAAUCGAGGACAGAUAAUUUUCUGGGCUUUUGCUCAAGAAAACAGCCGAACUUUCACCUAACAAUAUUUUCUCUAAAUAAUCCCUAAU